CGAUGAACCACUUCGGUGGGGAUUAGUGGCGAACGGGUGAGUAACACGUGGGCAAUCUGCCCUGCACUCUGGGACAAGCCCUGGAAACGGGGUCUAAUACCGGAUACGACCGUCUUGGGCAUCCUUGAUGGUGGAAAGCUCCGGCGGUGCAGGAUGAGCCCGCGGCCUAUCAGCUUGUUGGUGAGGUAACGGCUCACCAAGGCGACGACGGGUAGCCGGCCUGAGAGGGCGACCGGCCACACUGGGACUGAGACACGGCCCAGACUCCUACGGGAGGCAGCAGUGGGGAAUAUUGCACAAUGGGCGCAAGCCUGAUGCAGCGACGCCGCGUGAGGGAUGACGGCCUUCGGGUUGUAAACCUCUUUCAGCAGGGAAGAAGCGAAAGUGACGGUACCUGCAGAAGAAGCGCCGGCUAACUACGUGCCAGCAGCCGCGGUAAUACGUAGGGCGCAAGCGUUGUCCGGAAUUAUUGGGCGUAAAGAGCUCGUAGGCGGCUUGUCGCGUCGGUUGUGAAAGCCCGGGGCUUAACCCCGGGUCUGCAGUCGAUACGGGCAGGCUAGAGUUCGGUAGGGGAGAUCGGAAUUCCUGGUGUAGCGGUGAAAUGCGCAGAUAUCAGGAGGAACACCGGUGGCGAAGGCGGAUCUCUGGGCCGAUACUGACGCUGAGGAGCGAAAGCGUGGGGAGCGAACAGGAUUAGAUACCCUGGUAGUCCACGCCGUAAACGGUGGGCACUAGGUGUGGGCAACAUUCCACGUUGUCCGUGCCGCAGCUAACGCAUUAAGUGCCCCGCCUGGGGAGUAC
rnacentral:rRNA from 1 species